AAUGUACGACGAGGCCGGCAAGUUUGAUCCGUGAUCCCCUCCCCCCGCGUCGCUCCCGCGAGCGACGGGGGGAAACCCUAGCCGCCGCCGCUCCUAGUCCCCUCCCCUCCUCCACUCCCCUCGCCGCCGCCGCGCCCGCUGGCGGGCAAAGCCCGGCCAGCAGCGGCGGCGGCGGGGCCUCUUCUCCCCCUCGAGCGAUGGUGGGUGAUGCGGGGCGGCCUCGUCGUUUGGGGGCGCAGCGCUUCGUGGGGCGCGGCGGCACUGUUGGCUGUUGUCCCGGCGUGGUGGGCUACUUGGUGUGCCCGGCGGGAUGUGCCCCUGGUGGUGGCGGUGGCGCGAGCCUGGCGGCGGCGGCCCAAAUCGGCUGGAUCUGGUGGCUCUCCCUCGACAGGCGGCGCGGGGGCUGGCUUCGACCCGGCGUGGUCGUGGCGUUGGGAGUGGACCGCGGCAGCGCGUGGCGAGCUGCUACAGCGGCGGCUGCCGGUGGUGCGGUGGUCCCUCGGUGGAUGGGCGCUCUCGAGACCCUCUUUGGCGGCUGGGUGCGGACGGGCCGGCGGCCCUCGAUGGUGGACGGAUGGCUGAUGUUGCCCCGCGUGGGGCUGCGGGAGGCCGUGGUGGGGCGUCAGGGGUGACGUGUGGGGAGGUUGCAGGGGGAUGGGUGGUCUCUCUACCCGUCACCGGCGCAGGGGGCGCUGGUCCGGACAUGCUCCGCUCCUCUUCUCCCCAUUUCCCCUACCUAGCGCUUCCGAGCUCCAGAUCACUGUUCGGGGCAGUCCAGUCAUCGGCGGCUCUGCUAUGCUAGGGUUUUGCCAGUCGGUUCCAAGUCUGUCCCUUUGUUGGUGUCUGGAGCGUCGGGAUGCAGGGCGGCGGCCUUGGUGGCGGGAGCGGCGUGCUCGUGGACGGAGCUCGCGGCUCAGGUGCGGGCUAGUCUCCAUGGUCGUGUGGGCGGCAUGGCGGCUGGUGCUUGUCGAUUGGUGGCUGUGAUGCGGCGUCUGUCCCCAGGACUGGUCGCAACCUGUUCGGAGCCGGAGUGUGUCUACCUGGGUGAAUACCCUGCCUGGCAUUCCCAGGCCGACGGAGGCGUCGUCCGUGGACGUCGUGAUCUUCUUGAAGGCUCCGUCGUGGUUACUCCAUGUCCUCCAAGGUGCCCCGGAUGAAAAUCGUGAUCCUCUGGAUCGGGUGGUGGCGGCACUCCAGUGGCGUAUCCUUCUUGAAGGCAUCACCUUGGGGCUCAUAAAUCGACAGCGGGUAGCUUGGUCUCUUCUCGGUGGCUUGUUCCCGGUUGAGUGCUCCCUCGACUUCCUAGUGAGGCUUAGUGUCUAUCUAUUGUUUACUUGGAUUUGUUGUGGGAGUGUUAGCUGCUUCUUAGCAUCUUUGUACCUUGCCUUGGGUGCGUGUGGUGUUGUAUCACUCGUUGUAUGUUGGUUGUGGCUUUAUAUAUAAAGCGGGGCGAAAGCCUUUUUCGGUAACAAUGUACGACUUGCCCUCUACUCCAAAUCUCUCUCCCUCAUUUUUUUGUUUUCCCUUUUAUAUAUAUUUAAAAAUGGUCUAAAUGUAUAUGCAUUUUGAAAAGAUGUUAAACUGUUACAUAACCUGGUUAAAAUAAAAAUGUAUAUUUUUUGUUGAUGUUACUUUUAAAUAAGUGUUCUUGUAUCCUAGAAAAUGUUCAUUAAAUCAAGAAAAUAUAGUGUGUACAUUUUCUCUCUCUAAAUGUUCACGUACUUUUUAAAAACAAAUCAUAUAUUUUAAAUAAAUAUUCACACAUUAUUAAAUAAUAUUCACUUUAUGAUGUAUGUAAAAGAUAUUCACGCAUUAUCAAAUAAUGUUUACUGAAUAACGUGGCUACAUACAUGCUCUGCUCUCAUUUUUGUUCGGUGCAGAGUAGAGAAGGUACGCGGCCUACUGCUCCCAAGUGGAUGAUGAUACCAUGCAUCAACACUUUUUCUUUCCUUGUGUGCAUCAUUUGUUGUAGCUAAUCUUGUUAACAUUGAGAAACUGAAGUAGCAUUCAUUAUCUUGUCUGUUUCUUCUACUUGCUUAAAUUGAAAAUUCAUCUCUUCAAGCAGGCAAUUUUUCAUUUUGCAGUAACAUCUGGGGCUGACAUCCACAUGACCUGGUCAACUGUGCGUGCAGGCUCACAUCGCUGCUCUGUACUUGCUGAAUCUCCCUCAAGACCAAUAUCACAAUGUGCAAGAAAUGAGGCAGAGCUCAAGGGAGUGGGCAGUUGCAAGGAGCAGUUUCUUUCAGACCAAGCUCUUCUGGCAGGGAUUCUCAAGGAGCAUAUAUAUGCCGACUGACUAAUGUUGGUCUGCGCUAUUACUUGUCAAUAAUUAGUGGUGUGGUGUGAUUCAGUCAGCUCCUGAGGCCACGACACCUCUGCUAUCUAUAUGAACAUUUUUGGUGCUCUACUCCAUACUUGUGUUGGAGCUGCUGCAGUACAGACUACAGAGGAGCCUUGUUUCUUUUUCAAGUAGUGUUGCAAGCCUCGUGUGCCUGAAUGGAUCGAUCCUGUGAGGUGCGGCCUAAAUUGCAUCAUCUGAACAUUUAGUCUUGUAAAUAUACAAGUUGCAUCCAAGGAGUAAGGGAUUUGCCUUUCAUGGUUAGCUUCUGCACAAAACAUGCUUCUUUGUAUUGGCUCUCUUGUUUGUUUCAAUAUCCAGCUUACUAAAUUUUCAUUGUGCCAUAUAUAUAACAUCCAGCUGAAUGACAUCCACACAACUCGGCCAAUCGUGUCGUGUCGUGCGUGCAGGCUGCUCUGGACUUUCUGAAUUUCGCACAAGAUCAAUUUUCACGAUGCGAAUAAAGAGGCCUGCAGAGCUCUCAAGGAAGCAGUUUCAGGGAAGCAUGUUUUGAUGCUGGAAGAGCUCUCAAGUCCUGACUGACUGACUGACUCACUCAUGUUGUUCUCCUCUACUAGUGCUUGUCAGCGAUUACUUACCGUCGUGAUUCAGAAAGGAAUUACGUAAACGGCAUGGUUCUGCUCUGCCCGAGGAGAGGAGCCCCUGCUCCUGCUGUAUAUAUAUUCCCCGUCAGCUCUGGAGCCACGACCCCAUAAAAAAGGACGUGCUGGUCAGUUGCUUCAUAAUGCUCUGGACGGAACUCAUUUUGCGGCGCUGAACUCAGUGGGAGCAGCCAUGCCAUGCGAAUUGGGAACAUAUUUACUUAUUCAUCUGGUUUUGUAGAGUCAUUUAUUUAUAAAUAAAGGUUGUCGAUGGUUCAUGUUCUAUAUAUGGACAUGGAGGAUAGCUAUCUCUGUUUUGUAACAAGAUCUUUUG